rnacentral:lncRNA from 1 species
CCUCAAAAUGUCUUGGACCUCCUGCUGUAGGAGGAGCGAGCUUCCUAACAGAUGCACUGGGUGGAGUGCCAUUCAGCUUUCAACCACCAGACCACAACUAGCAGCUGAUAAAGGCAGAAAUGGGUCAAGAUGAUGCUACCUGGUGCUUCAGCAGAACUUUUUACACCAGGGUUUCCUGAGGAGAAAUGGAUUAGGCAAUUACACAGCUGAGGCUGGGCUCUAUCUCCUAAGCCUGUUAGCUUUGCCUGUGCACAGGUUUCUGCAGAUAAGUGACCAUUCUUCUUUCUCUCACCUAGUGCUCUUUCAGACAGCUGUGGAGGUAAAAAAAAAAGCAAAUUGCUUGGCAGUGGGCAGAAACGAGUAAGUGCGUCUAUGCCGUCUAGAUUUGUCUGCAUGCCAACAGGAAGUGAAGUCUUAAUGGCGUCUCUCUGUUUAUCUUGUCCCCUGGCCUAUUGAGACCAAUUACCAUGACCAGCCGAGCCUGACAAGGAGAUUUCAUGCAUCAGGGGGCCAGGAAGUCAAAGGUUUCCUGUAUUUUGGGGUAAAGAAAUGAUUCGCCGCCACAAGAAACAGAAGAAAACAGGAGUAGGGAUGGAAUUGGAGACAAAGCAAGACAGUGGUCUUGUCUCUGCUUUUAUCCUUACUUAUUUCAGACAUGAGGUGCGCUUGGAAGAGCAGAGCAGGAAUGCCUACAUCUGGCUGAGAGGAAGCCCUGAGAGUUUAGAAGUAAGGUGAUUAUGUCUGUCUGACGACGACUAAAGCUUUGGCCUGUUCCCUGAUGGAGCACUGCAGGGGAAUCCAGCUUUGAUAAUCACACUGCAAACAGGAAUCAGACGGAAAGCUGUUCUGUCCCUCAAAGCCUGUUAGGCCAGACCACCAUGUGUGAGGACAAGACAAGCACAUCCAGGGAUCUGAGUGUGUGCCAGGUAUGCUUGUCUUGCUCUUUCUGUGGAGUGACGCUGACGACUCUCUCUUCUGACACUCCUCUGGGGUGGCCCGCUUCCUCUCAUCCAUCCAUGAAUUUGUCUGCCGUGUUGACAAAGCUUUGCAGGUCUCUUUCCAUCAACACCGCCACUUGACAGCACCACAUUUUACACCACAUGGAAGACUGUUGCAGAGUCGGGUAAUAGGUUUGCUGACACAAACUAUGUGGGUCAAUAAAACUCAAAGAUGUUUCGAGCUCUAGGAAAUGUCUUUCCUGUAACGGUCUGCACCAUGAUGUAGCCCUUUGAGGAGUCGGGAAUUGGGCCUUUAAUAUUGACCUUUGGCUAUACUCAGACACCAAACUCUUGUUUUGAAGCCAUUAUUAGUCUACGACACACUCAAGAAAUUUUCAGACGCUCACUUUGAAAUACUCACAGCAGUCACUAUCUCACAUAAAGACAUUUCAUAAGAUCCCGUUUGGAUGUUUUCAAAAAUGUCUCACUGGGACAUAUUUUUUUUAAAUUGACCAUUUUUUUACAGAUCUUGUAAAGUUUUCUGUGCAGUGCUGUAAGUGUAUUUAUUUAUUUACUGAUGAUACGUGUGCUCUAAAAUGUUUGUUCAAACCUCAUUGUAAC